GGAAGUAAAAGUCGUAACAAGGUUUCCGUAGGUGAACCUGCGGAAGGAUCAUUACCUAGAGUUGUAGGCUUUGCCUGCUAUCUCUUACCCAUGUCUUUUGAGUACCUUCGUUUCCUCGGCGGGUUCGCCCGCCGAUUGGACAAUUUAAACCAUUUGCAGUUGCAAUCAGCGUCUGAAAAAACUUAAUAGUUACAACUUUCAACAACGGAUCUCUUGGUUCUGGCAUCGAUGAAGAACGCAGCGAAAUGCGAUAAGUAGUGUGAAUUGCAGAAUUCAGUGAAUCAUCGAAUCUUUGAACGCACAUUGCGCCCCUUGGUAUUCCAUGGGGCAUGCCUGUUCGAGCGUCAUUUGUACCUUCAAGCUCUGCUUGGUGUUGGGUGUUUGUCUCGCCUCCGCGCGUAGACUCGCCUCAAAACAAUUGGCAGCCGGCGUAUUGAUUUCGGAGCGCAGUACAUCUCGCGCUUUGCACUCACAACGACGACGUCCAAAAGUACAUUUUUACACUCUUGACCUCGGAUCAGGUAGGGAUACCCGCUGAACUUAAGCAUAUCAAUAA
rnacentral:misc_RNA from 1 species